CCAUACACCAGACCACUUCACAGCUGAAAUUCUAGUCCAGUGGGGAAAAAAAAUGACAUAUAAGAACAAUGUCAGCUCUUACACCUCUAAGCCUUUGGUAAUUCAUAUACAUUGACAACGUAUGUGAUGUUCCACAGAAGAAAAAAGUAAUGGAAAAAUCUCAUAGAAGUUGGUAAAGAGACCUUGGAGUUCCUGAGGUUAUAAAGAAACCUGUAUGAAUUGUUUUUCUUGGUCUCUCAUUGUUAAAUAUUUUUCUUUUUCAGUACAAAAGACAGUUCUAGCGCAGUGGAAGAGACCAAAUAAGAGGACCAAGGGAAAUAUUUGUUGCAGAGAUCUGUAGAACAGAGUGCAAGAGUUGGGAGCAAAUGGACAGGUGAUAGUGUGCAACCAAGUCAAAUAUGCCUACAGCAGAACCUUGGGUCUACUGAGCUGUAAGUCUUGUUUCUCAUCCCUAAGAAGAAAAGCUACCCACAGGAAUGUUUUACAUCUGAUUACUGGCUCUUUGUGGCAUACUCUCUCUGGAUGUUGUACAAAAUGCCAACAUUUAAUAUUUCAUGUACUUACUGAUCCUUUUGUUCACAUUUGGAAUGUAAUGAAGGCCUUGUGCAACACAGUAAUUUAUUCCAGCCUCAUCAUAUUCACCUAUAGAGUUUUCUUCUUCUGCUUUCCACUUUUAUGUUGUUCAUUUAUAUUUUACUGUAAACAACAAAGAAUAUAUGAGCUAUUUUACUGUCCCGUGUCACAAAACAAUGUGAUUUCACAGUAAUGGUCUACCAAGGCUGAUUCAAGCCAUUAAGUCAUUUUAUACAAACUAUAUGAGGAAUCCACAAUUUACACCAUAAAUUAUUUUAUAUAUUAAAUCUCAGAUUUCUUCCAGGAGAGUACUGUUCUAGCUGUUUCUAGCUGUUUAUAAUUUACUUUUGUUUUAUUUAAGGAACAGUAAUGAAGUUUGAUCUAAAAGGCAAUAAUAAAAAGAAUCGCACACUGAAACUCACUACAGUUAAU
rnacentral:lncRNA from 13 species